CAGGAAUAAUGGCAAGCCUUUAGCCUAUUCGGGAGCGGCAAUGGGCGCCUCGCUGGAUCAGGAGCGCAGCAGACACCCUGCCGGAUCCGGAGGGGUGGAAGUCAGCAGUGGGUCUGCGACGGAGGCAAUCAGCAGCAGUGGAUGGGACUCUAGUCCUGACUUAAUGUAUCAAACGAAGCUCCAGGAUUUAAUCAAGAAAGGAGGCCAUCAGGAAAAAGAAAAUCAACUCUGAAGCUUAGCUGAAAAUAAUUUGCAUUUUGGGAGCUGUGCGUUAGGGAUGUUUGGUCCAAGCUCUUUCAUGGGGAGAUAAAAUGAAAAUGAUGUGCUUUAUUACUUUGAAAGUCAUACCCUUCUAAUAACAGGGAGAAUAGGAAGCUUUUCUGAUUUAUUCUGCUGAACCAUCACUAUCUGGAGUCAUUUGCACUCAUGGACCAUUGGGAGAACAUUAAUUGACCAAAAAGAGGCUGCUGUUAUUGUCGAGGCAGCAUUGUGUAUCCUUCUGAAAUGGCUGAUCCUGACCUGGGCUCUUGACUUUGCCCCCUCAGACUCUAGCUUUUAUGGGACUGGAUGGAUCUACUGCCAGAGGUCAAGUAGUGCCAGACUGAAAAGCUUUAUCAAUUCCAGAACCUCACCGAGUACCUCCUACUAGGAAAUUUGAAUGUGAACACCUUGGUAACAUCUCAACCACGCACUUGGGAGCUUUUGCCUAUAAUUCAAAGCAAACCGAAAAAGAAAUUAUUCCCACCAUGUUGCAAAAAUUGAAAUGGAAAAAGAACUGUUGAUUCUAAUUCCUCAACCCAGGACUUCAGAUGCCAAUAAUGAUUGCAAAGAAUAAAC
rnacentral:lncRNA from 1 species